ACGGGGUGCAGCAGGCGCGAAAACUUGGCAAUGCGAGCAAUCGUGACCAGGGAACUCCAAGUGGCUGGGGUAAGACCCAGUCUUUUCAGAACUCUUCAAAGGUUUUAGAAUAAGGGGUGGGUAAGGACGGUGCCAGCCGCCGCGGUAAUACCGGCGCCUCAAGUGGUAGUUGCUUUUAUUGGGCCUAAAACGUCCGUAGCCGGUUUGGUACAUUCGUGGGUAAAUCAACUCGCUCAACGAGUUGAAUUCUGCGAGGACGGCCAGACUUGGGACCGGGAGAGGUGUGGGGUACUCUCAGGGUAGGGGUAAAAUCCUGUCAUCCUGAGAGGACCACCUGUUGCGAAGGCGCCACACUAGAACGGAUCCGACGGUCAGGGACGAAGCCUAGGGGCACGAACCGGAUUAGAUACCCGGGUAAUCCUAAGGGUAACCCUGUGGACUUUUUUGUUGGAGGAAUUCCAAGACCUUUUUUCGGUGUCGAAGCGAAGGUGAUAAGUCCACUGCCUGGGAAGUACGGUCGCAAGGCUGAAACUUAAAGGAAUUGGCGGGGGAGCACCGCAACCUGAGGAUUGUGCG
rnacentral:rRNA from 1 species